rnacentral:rRNA from 1 species
UACGAAGGGGGCUAGCGUUGCUCGGAAUCACUGGGCGUAAAGCGCACGUAGGCGGAUUGUUAAGUCAGGGGUGAAAUCCUGGAGCUCAACUCCAGAACUGCCUUUGAUACUGGCGAUCUUGAGUCCGGGAGAGGUGAGUGGAACUGUGAGUGUAGAGGUGAAAUUCGUAGAUAUUCGCAAGAACACCAGUGGCGAAGGCGGCUCACUGGCCCGGUACUGACGCUGAGGUGCGAAAGCGUGGGGAGCAAACAGG